UGCUUGCACCGGGGAUUAGUGGCGAACGGGUGAGUAACACGUGAGUAACCUGCCCUUGACUCUGGGAUAAGCCUGGGAAACUGGGUCUAAUACCGGAUAUGACUCCUCAUCGCAUGGUGGGGGGUGGAAAGCUUUUGUGGUUUUGGAUGGACUCGCGGCCUAUCAGCUUGUUGGUGAGGUAAUGGCUCACCAAGGCGACGACGGGUAGCCGGCCUGAGAGGGUGACCGGCCACACUGGGACUGAGACACGGCCCAGACUCCUACGGGAGGCAGCAGUGGGGAAUAUUGCACAAUGGGCGCAAGCCUGAUGCAGCGACGCCGCGUGAGGGAUGACGGCCUUCGGGUUGUAAACCUCUUUCAGUAGGGAAGAAGCGAAAGUGACGGUACCUGCAGAAGAAGCGCCGGCUAACUACGUGCCAGCAGCCGCGGUAAUACGUAGGGCGCAAGCGUUAUCCGGAAUUAUUGGGCGUAAAGAGCUCGUAGGCGGUUUGUCGCGUCUGCCGUGAAAGUCCGGGGCUCAACUCCGGAUCUGCGGUGGGUACGGGCAGGCUAGAGUGAUGUAGGGGAGACUGGAAUUCCUGGUGUAGCGGUGAAAUGCGCAGAUAUCAGGAGGAACACCGAUGGCGAAGGCAGGUCUCUGGGCAUUAACUGACGCUGAGGAGCGAAAGCAUGGGGAGCGAACAGGAUUAGAUACCCUGGUAGU
rnacentral:rRNA from 1 species